rnacentral:rRNA from 1 species
UGGCGGCGUGCCUUACACAUGCAAGUCGAACGAGAACAUUCCUUCGGGAAUCAGUACAGUGGCGAACGGGUGAGUAACACGUGAGUAAUCUGCCCUUGAAAUUGGAAUAACUUCGCGAAAGCGGGGCUAAUACCGAAUGAUAUCUUCGAUUCUUAAGCGUUGAAGAUCAAAGGUGACCUCUUCACAAUGUUACCGUUCAAGGAUGAGCUCGCGGCCCAUUAGCUUGUUGGUAGGGUAAAAGCCUACCAAGGCCACGAUGGGUAGCCGGCCUGAGAGGGUGAACGGCCACACUGGAACUGAGACACGGUCCAGACUCCUACGGGAGGCAGCAGUGGGGAAUAUUGCGCAAUGGGGGCAACCCUGACGCAGCGACGCCGCGUGAGCGAUGAAGGUCUUCGGAUUGUAAAGCUCUGUCAGAUGGGAAGAAAUGUGUGUAUCUUAAUAGGAUCAUGCUUGACGGUACCAUCAGAGGAAGCCCCCGGNUAACUUCGUGCCACANNCGGGGNAAUCCGNGGGGGCCAGCGGU